rnacentral:rRNA from 1 species
CACGUAGGGUGCGAGCGUUGUCCGGAAUUAUUGGGCGUAAAGAGCUCGUAGGCGGUGUGUCGCGUCGGCCGUGAAAACUUGCAGCUUAACUGUGGGCGUGCGGUCGAUACGGGCAUCACUGGAGUUCGGCAGGGGAGACUGGAAUUCCUGGUGUAGCGGUGAAAUGCGCAGAUAUCAGGAGGAACACCGAUGGCGAAGGCAGGUCUCUGGGCCGAUACUGACGCUGAGGAGCGAAAGCGUGGGGAGCGAACAGG